rnacentral:lncRNA from 1 species
CUAAAAGCAACAAAGACAUGUAAACAUCCAAAACAUCACGACAAUAUUUAUGCAACAUUUCUACCACAUUUCCUUAUUCCCCCAGCUUAAUGAAUAAUAAUAUUAUCACCUACACAAAAACUAAGCCUAAGUUGGAUCACUUCCUUGGUAUCCUCGCACCGCUCACACCGCAAACGUUAAAUAUCUGCAAUGGUUAGAGAGAGUGGGUGAGCUUAAACAAGCU